rnacentral:rRNA from 1 species
CCCUUCGGGGUGGAUUAGUGGCGAACGGGUGAGUAACACGUGGGCAAUCUGCCCUUCACUCUGGGACAAGCCCUGGAAACGGGGUCUAAUACCGGAUAACACUCUCCUCCUCCUGGGGGUGGGUUAAAAGCUCCGGCGGUGAAGGAUGAGCCCGCGGCCUAUCAGCUUGUUGGUGGGGUAAUGGCCUACCAAGGCGACGACGGGUAGCCGGCCUGAGAGGGCGACCGGCCACACUGGGACUGAGACACGGCCCAGACUCCUACGGGAGGCAGCAGUGGGGAAUAUUGCACAAUGGGCGAAAGCCUGAUGCAGCGACGCCGCGUGAGGGAUGACGGCCUUCGGGUUGUAAACCUCUUUCAGCAGGGAAGAAGCGCAAGUGACGGUACCUGCAGAAGAAGCACCGGGUGACUACGUGCCAGCAGCCGCGGUAAUACGUAGGGUGCGAGCGUUGUCCGGAAUUAUUGGGCGUAAAGAGCUCGUAGGCGGUCUGUCACGUCGGAUGUGAAAGCCCGGGGCUUAACCCCGGGUCUGCAUUCGAUACGGGCAGACUAGAGUGUGGUAGGGGAGAUCGGAAUUCCUGGUGUAGCGGUGAAAUGCGCAGAUAUCAGGAGGAACACCGGUGGCGAAGGCGGAUCUCUGGGCCAUUACUGACGCUGAGGAGCGAAAGCGUGGGGAGCGAACAGGAUUAGAUACCCUGGUAGUCCACGCCGUAAACGUUGGG